rnacentral:rRNA from 1 species
AUUGAACGCUAGCGGGAUGCUUUACACAUGCAAGUCGAACGAGUGGCGGACGGGUGAGUAAUAUAUCGGAACGUGCCCAGUAGCGGGGGAUAACUACUCGAAAGAGUGGCUAAUACCGCAUACCAUCGGAGCGGCCGAUAUCGGAUUAGCUAGUUGGUGGGGUAAAGGCUCACCAAGGCAACGAUCCGUAGCUGGUUUGAGAGGAUGACCAGCCACACUGGGACGGAGACACGGCCCAGACUCCUACGGGAGGCAGCAGUGGGGAAUAUUGGACAAUGGGGGAAAGCCUGAUGCAGCCAUGCCGCGUGUAUGAGAAGGCCUUCGGGUUGUAAAGUACUUUUGGCAGAGAGGCGGUAUCUGCAGAAUAAGCACCGGCUAACUACGUGCCAGCAGCCGCGGUAAUUC